UACGGGUAGUGCUCGACAAUCGGCAACAGAUACCUAGAGAUCGGAGCAGUGAGAAGAUCGCACUUUCAACUUCUGACGUCGUUUGAGGAAUGUGUUUUACAGUUUUCGGGAUUCCGUUUUCGGUGAGGGAGAGGAGUUUCGCCAGCGACGGUGGAUUUGGUCACAAAGAGAACCGACUUUCAGGGAUUUAGGGAUUUCGUUUCCUCUUCCUUUCCUUCACGGCAUUUUGGGUCGUCGCUGGUGGUCACUUUCGUCACAGCGACGAGUGAGUUUUAGAGAUUUAGGGAUUUUGUUUUCUCUUCCUUUCGUUCAGGGCAUAUGGGGUUCACCGGCAGUCGUCUAUUUCACGAGAGAGAGGGCUGGAUUUUAGGGAUUUAGUUUUCUCCUCCUUUCCUUCACGGGAUUUUUCUUCUUCGAAUGGGGGGGGGAUUGGAGCUUGCAUUUUCAUUUUUGC
rnacentral:lncRNA from 1 species